CACGUAGGCGGAUAUUUAAUCAGGGGUGAAAUCCCAGAGCUCAACUCUGGAACUGCCUUUGAUACUGGGUAUCUUGAGUAUGGAAGAGGUAAGUGGAAUUCCGAGUGUAGAGGUGAAAUUCGUAGAUAUUCGGAGGAACACCAGUGGCGAAGGCGGCUUACUGGUCCAUUACUGACGCUGAGGUGCGAAAGCGUGGGGAGCAAACA
rnacentral:rRNA from 1 species